rnacentral:miRNA from 1 species
GAUUGUAAUGCGAUGGCUC